GGAGCGUUAUUUACCUGGCAGGAAACACGGCGGCUCAAACGCUCAAAAGUUUGGUUAUACUUGCAAAAGGGCAACUUGCAAUACUUGCAAAGUAGAUAUUUCAUUUAAGGGAGGAAACACUACGAAUAUGCAAAAGCAUUUGCUCACAAAACACGUGAUGACCUUAAAUGAAUGUCGUGUUUUUAAUUCCGCUCUCCGGACUCGUGAAUCUCAACCCAGCAGCAGCGGUAACGUUUGCACGUCCUCUCCCGUUAAUGCGGCAGGUGACCAUGAUGAGAGAGACAGAGUCUGGCUCAGAUGCUGGCAGCUCUCGCUGCAGUCUACCGGUAGCGUCUCCUUUCAGGCCAGGAUAGACGAAUGUCACCGAGCAGUGACUAAGUUUGUGGUCAAAGGUUUGCACCCAUUUGCCACAGCAGAUGCCCCCGAUUUCACUUUGUUCAGAUUUGAAUACUGUGACGUGAACAAGAGGACCUAAUGUGAGGAGGAAGAUAGUUCCAGAGUUUCGGAGGUACGCCUGGGGAUUCCCAGUCACCUGUAAAAGUAAAUCUGGAAUUUGGAAUCUGGGACUAGAAGUUGCUGAUAAGUGGGCCAAAGAAGCCAGUGAAACGAUUCAAGAAUGGAUGAAAUUCAAUCACACUUCCGUGUGGCUGUCAGCAGCACCAUUUUGAACCAGCUGCAAUCGAGAUUCCUGCGCCCUGAAUACAACUGCCACUUCCUGUUUGCCAGCCUGGCCUUUUACCUGGAUUUGUUUGGGUGAAGCACAAGGAAACAAAACAAUUUGGAGGAUACCUCCACCUCCCCAGUCUUUCUUCCACCUGCUCCCUACACUCACUGCAGAUCACAGUGUCAUCAUAUUCCAUGGAGACUCCUGUCGGACCUCAUCUGUCAACCUGUCCGUCACCUUUGAUGGGCAAUGUAUUAAUAUGUCAUCAGCUACAUCGCCACGGGAUAAUGUAAUGUUUUUUUAAGUACAGCAUUUGCAAACAAUGUUAAUAGUUCAUCUACGGCUUCAGUACUUGGCAAAGUAAUUUUAUUAAAAGUCAUCCACAAGUAAUAGUAAUAGUUGUGUGUUUGCAGAAAACCAUGUUCCCUCACCUAUCAGGUCAGAGGUUUGAUCUGAUUUCUGGCCAGCUUGCGGUCUUUCUUUUGGAUGUUAAACUCCAAAGUUCACUUUUGUCUCUAAAAGCCGAAACUAUCUUUUUGCUCUCUGACCUACUAAGCCACACGCAAGCAGCUUUUGGAGCAUUUUUUACUUUGGAUAUUGGACUUAAAAAGUUAUGUUUUAACUGUCAGUUGAUCACACAACCUUGAACUCCUGCCAGACCACACCAUGCCCAAGCUUUUCUUGGAGCCGUGUAAUUUUCACAGAGUUGAGCAGUACACAGAAUUCACUGGCUCAUGGUGACAUAUUCAUUGAGAAACUGAGACUUCAUAGUGCAAGUCUUUCUAUCUUUUUAGUGCUGGACAUUACAGUUUAGAAACCAAAUUUUAACAACAAGUUUAAAACUAACUCGGGAGAUAUUUUUGUCUUGGUGCUACCCAAGCUAAGCAGUUUUUUGCCCCCUACAGCUUUCAGUCUUUUUCUGAAGCUCAUCUAAGAAAACAUGUUAAAAACAAAGAGUACUGAAGUAUCUUGACUAAAACUCUGACCUGAAUUGGAGUAUUUAGAGGUGUAAAUAUCUCACUGUAAUAGCAAAAAAGCUCUGUAACCAUUGGAGCAGUUUCAUAAAUGUAUUUUAGAACAACAUUGCAUCUCUUUAUUUUAUGUUCAUUCUCCUGAAAAUACUUCCUGAUCUUAACUUAAAUACUUACAUUUGAAACUUUCAUAUGUAAGUCACUGUAAGUUAGUUAUACACUGCCCUUCCUCUGGGGCAAUUUAUUUUAGCAACAAAUUACAAUCUACUGCAAUAAUUUUAACUUUUUUUAAUUUUAGGAAAGCUCAAUAACAUGUUGGAAAUACUUCUUCUAUUACACUCAUGUUUUGAUGUUUAAAAAUGUUUUAAUCUACCCAUAAGUGCUUAGAUCUGGGGUAUAUUUCUAAUCCUCCUCUACUGAUCAUGAAAAACCUUUCAAAAGUGCCACAGUUUGUUUUGCCUAACUAAACCUUACUUUGCCAAUUCUUUGAUCAAAACUGUCCACUUCCCUCAGCAAAGACGGAGCUACUUUGUAUUUUUUUUUUCCCCUGCAUGUGUGUGUGAACCCAGCAAGCCGGCGGUCAUCAUUAAGACAGUAAAUCUGCAUAUUCCUUCUCUCGCUCUCUCUUUUUUUUCUCCAUUUUACAGUACAGUCACUGU
ensembl:lncRNA